CCUUGAAAGCCCUGUUAGGGCCACUUUAAGUCAAUUCUGACUUGAAGGCACAUAACAAUAACAAAGUCUACAUCAAUACAGUUGACUCACUACUAUAGACAAUUACCAUUACAUGUGUAAGUAUUGAAAAAGCAAGAACAGCCAACAUGUCACCAUGGUCUUUCUCCCAUGAAACUGAAGACUUGCAUAGGGCUACAGCUACUGCAGAAUGCAUGGGGGCCAUUUCAACUUUUUUUGUGGACUUCCAUGAUCUGUACCUAUCCACUUUUUGUUCAAAAGUUGCAGGAAGAUAAACAGGCCAGAAUAUUUUUCAGUGAUAGGGGUGGUGGUGUUAAAGAGUCGCACUAGAAGUGGUGUUAAAGAGUCACACUGGGUGGGCCUGGCAGGGGCUGCAAUUGCCCAUCCUGGACUACAAUCUGCAAGUACGUAUGGCUGAUAAAGUGGUUUGGCGCUUGCCUCAGAAAUAAGGUUUAUAUAGUAGAGUUUUGUUACAGUUUGGCAUCUUGGUUUGAAACACAAGCAAUAAUGGAUGCAGGAAAGGCUUUGGGACAAUAUUACCCUGGGAUCAAAAUCCUACUAAAAGGAGUGAGCAGGAGACCAGAAGCUGAGUGAAGAGCCUUGACAGAUUUCAGGCAGCUGCCAAGUAGAUCAGCUUGUAGGUGUUUCUUCUGGGGAAACAUUUUCUACAAUUUUCUUGUUAAUCUCAGUCUAGAAGGGACUUUGGUGGGAGCAGGGUGGGGAUGGACAAUGAGGUGACUGAAAUGCUAUGAGGUUUUGGAAUGUGAGAAAGGCUGGUGGGAUGAUCCUCAAGAGAAGAAGGGAGUAUUUCUGUUGUGGGAUCAGAUACAGCCAUAAGUAGGAUAGAGACAAACAAAGGUAUGAUGGGACAUGCUUUGCCUGACCUUACUUGCUGUGGUACCCUGAUAAUUUGUGUUCCAAUUUUUUUGAAAGUCUUGCCAUUGAUUUGCUAAUCAUGAUAUGGAAGAAUAUCCACCAUGAAUGAAAAUAUCAAUCUGGUGUAUAUAGUGGAGACCUGUUUGCAUGAGAUGGAAGAGUUGGUUAGCCUUAACUGGCAAUUUUUUUACAGUGGUUGUGCCACUUAAUUGACAUAGUAGAGACAGGAUGAGAAAGUAACAUUAAAUAAACCAACAUUCUAAAUGUGUUUAUGUGCUUCAUAAUAGCAUAAAUGUUUGGGAAAUCCAUUGUUUUUGCCCACUGAUCUCAUAUGUCCUACUUAAUAGGACCCUGUGUUAAUCUUACAGCUGCAUCCCCACAUCAUUCUAGAAAGUGAUCUGCUCCUGAGAAAACACAGGUAUUCCUUAUUCUUUGGAAUAACUGCAUUUUCCAAAGAGUAGUAGAUAACUUUCCUGUUUUGAAGAAAGGUUCCCUCAUCAUAUGCAGUGAGAAAGGUAGGGAAGAAAUUAAAUGAGCAAACAAAUGAAUAAUAACUGAAUUUUUGCACAUAUGCACCUUUUCACACAUUGAUUGAAGAUCUCUUAAGACAUAUGUAGAUAAGCUUGCAGGUUCUCUUCACCCUCAAGUGAGGGUUUUAUAAUUGUUUUGAUGUAACUUGAUUAGAACUGCCAAAAUGACAGGAAGGUGUCAUCCAUACAUGGGGAAAAUAUGUUGGAUUUGUCUUCAGAUUUGCUUUUUAUUGAAUUUAUUUUGAUGAUGAGAGUUAUCUAUUAGACUUGUCACUUAACUGUUGUCUUUUUCACCAAGUCAAAAUUUGAAGAGUGAGAAUGAAUUCAUGUUAGCUAACACUUCUUUUUAUUUUCCUUUUGUGGUGGUAGAUAUAAACAUAUGAUCUGGUUUUGGAUCUUUGAAGAACUCUUUAUGUUUUAAAUAAAAUAUGUGGUAAAGUA